rnacentral:rRNA from 1 species
UACGGAGGGCGCAAGCGUUGUUCGGAAUUACUGGGCGUAAAGCGCGUGUAGGCGGCCUUGUAAGUCGGAGGUGAAAGCCCGGGGCUCAACCUCGGAACUGCAUUCGAUACUGCAAGUCUCGAGUCCGGAAGAGGUGAGUGGAAUUCCUGGUGUAGAGGUGAAAUUCGUAGAUAUUAGGAAGAACACCAGUGGCGAAGGCGGCUCACUGGUCCGGUACUGACGCUGAGGCGCGAAAGCGUGGGGAGCAAACAGG